rnacentral:rRNA from 1 species
CGAGCGUUGUCCGGAAUUAUUGGGCGUAAAGGGCUCGUAGGUGGUUUGUCGCGUCGUCUGUGAAAUUCCGGGGCUUAACUCCGGGCGUGCAGGCGAUACGGGCAUAACUUGAGUGCUGUAGGGGAGACUGGAAUUCCUGGUGUAGCGGUGAAAUGCGCAGAUAUCAGGAGGAACACCGGUGGCGAAGGCGGGUCUCUGGGCCGAUACUGACGCUGAGGAGCG